GGCCUCACCAUCACUCCCCAGGGUAGGAAGGACCCUACAGACAUCAGAGCAGACCCUGCUCAUCUCGGCAGCCAGGUGUUCGGAGGCUUUCCAGCAGCCCACCACUGGCCGCCUUCUUUUCUUCCCUUUUUAAAAAAAUAAUGUUUACUGUUUUUAUUUUCUGAGUGCAAAUGUAAUAUAUACUUAUUACAGAAAAUUCAGGGAAUACAGAGAAAGAAAAGUAAGAAAAUUAAGAUCACAUACAAUAUUCCACCACCCAGAGAGAACAACUAUCAAUAUUUUAGAUGGUGCACCCAAGAUCCCAAGGCGGGGCAGUUACUCUCAGAGCUAUUUACAAACCGAAAGGAGAACAUUCCUCUCAAGCUUUCUGAAGACUGUCUUUACCUCAAUAUUUACACUCCUGCUGACUUGACCAAGAAAAACAGGCUGCCGGUGAUGGUGUGGAUCCACGGAGGGGGGCUGAUGGUGGGUGCGGCAUCAACCUAUGAUGGGCUGGCCCUUGCUGCCCAUGAAAACGUGGUGGUGGUGACCAUUCAAUAUCGCCUGGGCAUCUGGGGAUUCUUCAGCACAGGGGAUGAACACAGCCCGGGGAACUGGGGUCACCUGGACCAGCUGGCUGCCCUGCGCUGGGUCCAGGACAACAUUGCCAGCUUUGGAGG
rnacentral:sRNA from 1 species